UCAGCUCGUGUUGUGAAAUGUUGGGUUAAGUCCCGCAACGAGCGCAACCCUUAUCCUUUGUUGCCAGCGAUUAGGUCGGGAACUCAAAGGAGACUGCCAGUGAUAAACUGGAGGAAGGUGGGGAUGACGUCAAGUCAUCAUGGCCCUUACGACCAGGGCUACACACGUGCUACAAUGGCGCAUACAAAGAGAAGCGACCUCGCGAGAGCAAGCGGACCUCAUAAAGUGCGUCGUAGUCCGGAUUGGAGUCUGCAACUCGACUCCAUGAAGUCGGAAUCGCUAGUAAUCGUGGAUCAGAAUGCCACGGUGAAUACGUUCCCGGGCCUUGUACACACCGCCCGUCACACCAUGGGAGUGGGUUGCAAAAGAAGUAGGUAGCUUAACCUUCGGGAGGGCGCUUACCACUUUGUGAUUCAUGACUGGGGUGAAGUCGUAACAAGGUAACCGUAGGGGAACCUGCGGUUGGA
rnacentral:rRNA from 2 species